UUAAGCGACUAAGCGUACACGGUGGAUGCCCUGGCAGUCAGAGGCGAUGAAGGACGUGCUAAUCUGCGAUAAGCGUCGGUAAGGUGAUAUGAACCGUUAUAACCGGCGAUUUCCGAAUGGGGAAACCCAGUGUGAUUCGUCACACUAUCAUUAACUGAAUCCAUAGGUUAAUGAGGCGAACCGGGGGAACUGAAACAUCUAAGUACCCCGAGGAAAAGAAAUCAACCGAGAUUCCCCCAGUAGCGGCGAGCGAACGGGGAGCAGCCCAGAGCCUGAAUCAGUGUGUGUGUUAGUGGAAGCGUCUGGAAAGGCGCGCGAUACAGGGUGACAGCCCCGUACACAAAAAUGCACAUACUGUGAGCUCGAUGAGUAGGGCGGGACACGUGGUAUCCUGUCUGAAUAUGGGGGGACCAUCCUCCAAGGCUAAAUACUCCUGACUGACCGAUAGUGAACCAGUACCGUGAGGGAAAGGCGAAAAGAACCCCGGCGAGGGGAGUGAAAAAGAACCUGAAACCGUGUACGUACAAGCAGUGGGAGCCUCUUUAUGGGGUGACUGCGUACCUUUUGUAUAAUGGGUCAGCGACUUAUAUUCUGUAGCAAGGUUAACCGAAUAGGGGAGCCGAAGGGAAACCGAGUCUUAACUGGGCGUUAAGUUGCAGGGUAUAGACCCGAAACCCGGUGAUCUAGCCAUGGGCAGGUUGAAGGUUGGGUAACACUAACUGGAGGACCGAACCGACUAAUGUUGAAAAAUUAGCGGAUGACUUGUGGCUGGGGGUGAAAGGCCAAUCAAACCGGGAGAUAGCUGGUUCUCCCCGAAAGCUAUUUAGGUAGCGCCUCGUGAAUUCAUCUCCGGGGGUAGAGCACUGUUUCGGCAAGGGGGUCAUCCCGACUUACCAACCCGAUGCAAACUGCGAAUACCGGAGAAUGUUAUCACGGGAGACACACGGCGGGUGCUAACGUCCGUCGUGAAGAGGGAAACAACCCAGACCGCCAGCUAAGGUCCCAAAGUCAUGGUUAAGUGGGAAACGAUGUGGGAAGGCCCAGACAGCCAGGAUGUUGGCUUAGAAGCAGCCAUCAUUUAAAGAAAGCGUAAUAGCUCACUGGUCGAGUCGGCCUGCGCGGAAGAUGUAACGGGGCUAAACCAUGCACCGAAGCUGCGGCAGCGACACUAUGUGUUGUUGGGUAGGGGAGCGUUCUGUAAGCCUGUGAAGGUGGCCUGUGAGGGUUGCUGGAGGUAUCAGAAGUGCGAAUGCUGACAUAAGUAACGAUAAAGCGGGUGAAAAGCCCGCUCGCCGGAAGACCAAGGGUUCCUGUCCAACGUUAAUCGGGGCAGGGUGAGUCGACCCCUAAGGCGAGGCCGAAAGGCGUAGUCGAUGGGAAACAGGUUAAUAUUCCUGUACUUGGUGUUACUGCGAAGGGGGGACGGAGAAGGCUAUGUUGGCCGGGCGACGGUUGUCCCGGUUUAAGCGUGUAGGCUGGUUUUCCAGGCAAAUCCGGAAAAUCAAGGCUGAGGCGUGAUGACGAGGCACUACGGUGCUGAAGCAACAAAUGCCCUGCUUCCAGGAAAAGCCUCUAAGCAUCAGGUAACAUCAAAUCGUACCCCAAACCGACACAGGUGGUCAGGUAGAGAAUACCAAGGCGCUUGAGAGAACUCGGGUGAAGGAACUAGGCAAAAUGGUGCCGUAACUUCGGGAGAAGGCACGCUGAUAUGUAGGUGAAGCGACUUGCUCGUGGAGCUGAAAUCAGUCGAAGAUACCAGCUGGCUGCAACUGUUUAUUAAAAACACAGCACUGUGCAAACACGAAAGUGGACGUAUACGGUGUGACGCCUGCCCGGUGCCGGAAGGUUAAUUGAUGGGGUUAGCGGUAACGCGAAGCUCUUGAUCGAAGCCCCGGUAAACGGCGGCCGUAACUAUAACGGUCCUAAGGUAGCGAAAUUCCUUGUCGGGUAAGUUCCGACCUGCACGAAUGGCGUAAUGAUGGCCAGGCUGUCUCCACCCGAGACUCAGUGAAAUUGAACUCGCUGUGAAGAUGCAGUGUACCCGCGGCAAGACGGAAAGACCCCGUGAACCUUUACUAUAGCUUGACACUGAACAUUGAGCCUUGAUGUGUAGGAUAGGUGGGAGGCUUUGAAGUGUGGACGCCAGUCUGCAUGGAGCCGACCUUGAAAUACCACCCUUUAAUGUUUGAUGUUCUAACGUUGGCCCGUAAUCCGGGUUGCGGACAGUGUCUGGUGGGUAGUUUGACUGGGGCGGUCUCCUCCUAAAGAGUAACGGAGGAGCACGAAGGUUGGCUAAUCCUGGUCGGACAUCAGGAGGUUAGUGCAAUGGCAUAAGCCAGCUUGACUGCGAGCGUGACGGCGCGAGCAGGUGCGAAAGCAGGUCAUAGUGAUCCGGUGGUUCUGAAUGGAAGGGCCAUCGCUCAACGGAUAAAAGGUACUCCGGGGAUAACAGGCUGAUACCGCCCAAGAGUUCAUAUCGACGGCGGUGUUUGGCACCUCGAUGUCGGCUCAUCACAUCCUGGGGCUGAAGUAGGUCCCAAGGGUAUGGCUGUUCGCCAUUUAAAGUGGUACGCGAGCUGGGUUUAGAACGUCGUGAGACAGUUCGGUCCCUAUCUGCCGUGGGCGCUGGAGAACUGAGGGGGGCUGCUCCUAGUACGAGAGGACCGGAGUGGACGCAUCACUGGUGUUCGGGUUGUCAUGCCAAUGGCACUGCCCGGUAGCUAAAUGCGGAAGAGAUAAGUGCUGAAAGCAUCUAAGCACGAAACUUGCCCCGAGAUGAGUUCUCCCUGACUCCCUGAGAGUCCUGAAGGAACGUUGAAGACGACGACGUUGAUAGGCCGGGUGUGUAAGCGCAGCGAUGCGUUGAGCUAACCGGUACUAAUGAACCGUGAGGCUUAACCUU
rnacentral:rRNA from 1 species